rnacentral:ribozyme from 1 species
AGAAAUAGAUGAAUAGAAGAAAUAGAAAAGAAAAAAGACAAAAAGAAAUGAAGCGUGUUAUUGGCACAGUCGAUUUUUGGUUU